GUACUUGCUUCAGUGACACAUACACUAAAAUUGGAACGAUACAGAGAUUAGCAUAGUCUCUACAUAAGGAUGACAUGCAAAUUUGUGAAGCAUUCCAUAUUAUU